GAGACUAUACUUCCAGGGAUCAUUUCUAUAGUAUAUUACUAAGUUGCAGUUGUGGCUGAAGGCAGAUUUCAGAAAAACCUGGAAAGACUUACAUGAGCUGAUGCUGAGU
rnacentral:snoRNA from 1 species